GUUCUAGCACCUUUAAUACUCAUAUUGAAAAGGGAAUUUCAUAAGGGGUCACCAGAUAAAACUCUCUCUUAAACAAAACAAUUUGUGCUGGAUGCUUUCCAUCAUCAUAUCAUAUCAGCUUGUCCAAAGAACUACAGCCAGAAUGGUACAUCUGCUGGGAACAUAAGUGGCUGCCUCCAGGCUCUGAAACUUCUUUCCAAGAAAGGACAAACAGCACAUGAUGGAUGCAAGUAUCCAACGAAUAGACAGCUACUUUUGCUUCAGCAGUUAAAGUGGGCAAGAGAUAAAAGAGCAACAAAGGGUUGUUAUACUUUUAAAGCAAUCUGAUUCCACAACUACUUGAAGCUACACUGAGAUGGUAAUAGGAAAUGAAAUGCCAGAAGACUUAUCUUUAUGGUGUCACUGUAGUCCAAAAAGCAAACUGUAACAGAAAAAAGAGUUCUCAUUUGGCAAUAAACUUGGAUAUAUAGGCAAAGGGUAGAGAGCUUAUUUCAAUUGGAAUUGUUAAUACAACACUGUUUAAUUUUUUUGU
rnacentral:lncRNA from 11 species